UCUCUUCUCAUUAACGAGGAUGUUGCUCCGGUUGGUUUUGAUGAAGAAAUAAUUGAGUUGAAAAUGCAAAGCAUCUGAUCAAGAUCCCCCCUAAAGUUAUUGAUAUGACUAUUAUCAUGACAUACAAGCUUUGACUUGCUUUAUGAAAAGGAGAUCUAUUGAUUGGGGGAAGAAAUAGUUGCAGGGAAAAAGCAUGUAAUGACUGUACUCGUGCACAGGGGGGCAGCACUGUCACGUCUAACAUCUUGCUCCUAUUUUUCUGGUGUGCGCCGAUGGUUUGAAAAGCCUGCAGAAAAGGUAAGUUUAGGCCACGCCCACCUCCCCCCAGGUGUAGCGAAUUGAUUAAUGAGCUGUCCGGGGUACAAGAGGAAAGACGACUCGAUAUGACAUGUUUUUGGACUCGGGGAGGAAACAGGAGCACCUGAUGUAAUGCAGAGGGAGAAAAUGCAACCUCUACAUCAAAAGAGCCCAGUCAAGACAACAGGGUAACCAAUGUCAGGCCUGGUCGUUCCUGCGCCGCAGUGACAGAAUCCAGACAGCAGGGGGAGGACAAAGUCCCCCCUCCUCCCUCCAGGAGAGCUGGGAGCCUCGCAGCUGGUCUGAAGAGGUGUGCAGCUUGCCUCGGAGUCGCUUGCCAGGAACAACUGAACAUGUCUCCGAAAAGGUCAUCCAGACCGUGACAGCAGCAAAAAUGACGGGGAUCAGUGUGAGCACCUGGAAACAAAUGGAGCGUUUCGAUUCAUCGUCUGGAUCUGAUCCACACUAAAUGUUCUGGUUGUACCUGUCAGAGGCUGUGAGCGGGAGGAGGAAGUUGCCGUGUUCGUUGGGGGAUAUCCUUCCUCGCAGCAGCAGCGAGCGAGAACGCCCUGCUCACACAAAGGAUGAGAUGUCCCGAAUUCCAGUCUGACAGCUCAACACAACAAGUCCUCUCUGGGAGUCCAGGCAUCAAGCUGUCAGCACUCGU